rnacentral:rRNA from 1 species
UGGGGAAUAUUGGACAAUGGGCGAAAGCCUGAUCCAGCCAUGCCGCGUGUGUGAAGAAGGUCUUCGGAUUGUAAAGCACUUUAAGUUGGGAGGAAGGGCAUUAACCUAAUACGUUAGUGUUUUGACGUUACCGACAGAAUAAGCACCGGCUAACUCUGUGCCAGCAGCCGCGGUAAUACAGAGGGGGCAAGCGUUAAUCGGAAUUACUGGGCGUAAAGCGCGCGUAGGUGGUUUGUUAAGUUGGAUGUGAAAUCCCCGGGCUCAACCUGGGAACUGCAUUCAAAACUGACUGACUAGAGUAUGGUAGAGGGUGGUGGAAUUUCCUGUGUAGCGGUGAAAUGCGUAGAUAUAGGAAGGAACACCAGUGGCGAAGGCGACCACCUGGACUAAUACUGACACUGAGGUGCGAAAGCGUGG